rnacentral:rRNA from 1 species
GAUGAACGCUAGCGGCAGGCCUAACACAUGCAAGUCGAGGGAGAAGCCCUUUCGGGGGCAGAAACCGGCGCACGGGUGCGUAACGCGUAUGCAACCUACCUUUCACAGGGGGAUAGCCCGAAGAAAUUUGGAUUAAUACCCCAUAAUAUUAUUGGAUGGCAUCAUUUGAUAAUUAAAACUGCGGUGGUGAAAGAUGGGCAUGCGUCCUAUUAGCUAGUUGGAGUGGUAACGGCACCCCAAGGCUACGAUAGGUAGGGGUCCUGAGAGGGAGAUCCCCCACACUGGUACUGAGACAGGGACCAGACUCCUACGGGAGGCAGCAGUGAGGAAUAUUGGUCAAUGGUCGGAAGACUGAACCAGCCAUGCCGCGUGCAGGAAGAAUGCCUUAUNGGUNUGUAAACUGCUUUUAUAUGGGAAGAAUAAGGCGUACGUGUACGUGANGACGGU